AAAUCUAAAGUUUUUAUUGUGUUAAGUCAAAGUCUUUAAUUUCUCUUAGAGUUUCUGUUUUGAGGUGCUUUUGUUUUGCAGUCUAGUAUUGUGUAAUCGGUUUAUUGCACCGUUAAUAGAUGAUUUUGAAGCGUUGGGAGAUGUGAAAGCGCACGACUCUCUGUAAUGUAUUUACUUUAGUAUAUAUAUAUAUAUAUACACUAGGGCUGAAACAAUUACUCGACAUUAUCGACAACGUCGACGAUAAAAAUAAAAUUUUCAGCAAAUGUUUUUGAGUAACGUUAGUGGUUUGAUCUCGUAUCUGCCUGAUUUGAAAGCCUGCAUUAAUGCAGUUUGACCAGUGUGGCGCUGUAGCGCAAGAUUGUAAUACACUCUCCUGAUUCAAUUAAAAAGAAGAAGAUAGCACUUCAGUUUGAGGCAAACCGACCCGAUCCGAACCUUGGAUGAAUAUGUAAAUAUAUACUGCACGCCUUCCUCUCAAUAACUGCAUAAACACAACAAAAAACUGACCGCGAUGUAAAAGCAGCUCUUAAGAACACAGAGAUAUGGAUGUUUGCACGAACUCUGAGGUUCUCCAGGCACUCCAGUAAAGAAAAGUCCAGUCACGUUUAUUUAUAUAACAGUCCUUUAUGCAAUCGAUAGCUUUUCAAUAUUAAACAUGAAAAUACAGAGUAAGUGUCGCUAGAAUUAUAACUUGAUUUCCUUUUAUAAAGCAGCUCUCCGGUAUGGAGCUAGCUAAUAAUAAAAUCAUUUUAUAAGUGGGGGAAAUAUUUCAUUAAAGUCUUAGUUCUGCGCUAGAUCAAACCAAACUGUUUUGAUUAUCAUAACCCAAUAAGGUAUUUUAAGAGAGAUUGUAUUUAUUAAUAAAAUGUUUAUCCAAAAAUAAAACGUCCUAUCACUUACCUUUACUUUAUAUUAUACAUAUGGCUUACAAUAAGAGAUGUUAAGAGACAGAAUGAUUUGUCAUUCAGCUACUUCCUCAUAUAACUAAUCAAAUGGCGAAUAGGAGUUUCUCUCUUAUCUCAUUUUGUGUGCCAAAUAUAUUUGUAUAAAUUAAUUGUAUUAGUAAUACAUAAUGACUUUAAAAAGUGGAAGUAAUUACCUUUAUUUGUUAUAAUGUGUAUAUUUUAACUAAUUUAAAAAGAUAAAUAAUCAAUAAAUGUCCAACCAUGAGAUGUUGACCGAGUUUUGAGAGCCCUGGCUCAGCACAGUGGGAGUAUUUGAAGCUUUGUUUAUGAACAUGGCGGUGUGGUCAUACAAUGACUUUAAACCGGACACUACUCUGAGCUGUUCACAUUAUACAUAUGCUCCAGAUAUGUAAUCAGGUCCUCCUUUAGGAAUGGUAAACAUGACACUAUUCAUCACUCACACAAAUAAAUCACUUAAUAUUUUGAUCAUUGAAUUGGUUUUUGCUGUUCAAUUUUUUUUUUUUUUUUUUUGUAACACAUUGCACUUCAUGUGUACAGGUUUGUGCAGAAUUUGAGACAUCCAGAAUUACCAUAGGCCCAUUAGAAUCAACAAUCUUUGCCAAACUUGAUUCGGACUGCAAAAUUUACGAAGAUGUUUUCAUACUGAAGAAGAGACCUUGGACAAAUACUGAAACCCUCUUGGUGCCCACUACACAGGCAGGGGUGUCCAGACCUGCUCUAGGAAAGCCAGUGUUCUGUGGGGUUCAGCUCUAACACACCUGCCUGGAACUUCAGACUAAUGAAAUUGAAGUAUCCAAAUGAAGACCCUAGCAGUAUGGAGUAUAUGGAUACAGACGUUGCCAGCAGUCAGGAGGUGAUCCAGAAGACUCAUGGGAAUCUAUUUGAAGCUGCAUCAUUGAAGACAGUCCAGCAGAAGUUGGAGUUUUAAAGGAUAAAGUUCUUCAGGACCUAUAGCAGUUUACAGUCUUUAAAACCAUGUUACUGGGACUGAUUUAUGGACUGAACUUGAGCAACCCUCCUGAACUCAGGUACACAUUUGGAAUACUGAAGAAGUUAUUUCUGGAGCCAGUUCCUGUUCCUGGAAUAAGGUUUGAUUGGUUGCCCAUGAAUGCCAAUUAGAAUUGUAUUUGCUAUUUUGUGUAAUUUUGUAAUGUGGUUUAAACUGUAUUUUACUGUGUGUAAUUAUUUAUUGCUUGUUUAACAAAUACACUUUGAUAAUUUGUGA